GGGCCCGUAGCUCAGCAUGGUAGAGCGACCGGCUCUUAACCGGUAGGUCAGGGGUUCGAAGCCCCUCGGGCCCG
rnacentral:tRNA from 1 species